UACGGAAGGUCCGGGCGUUAUCCGGAUUUAUUGGGUUUAAAGGGAGCGUAGGCCGGCUUUUAAGUCAGCUGUGAAAGUCCGCGGCUCAACCGUGGAAUUGCAGUUGAAACUGGAGGCCUUGAGUGCACACAGGGAUGCCGGAAUUCAUGGUGUAGCGGUGAAAUGCUUAGAUAUCAUGAAGAACUCCGAUCGCGAAGGCAGCCUGCUGGACUGUAACUGACGCUGAUGCUCGAAAGCAUGGGUAGCGAACAGG
rnacentral:rRNA from 1 species